rnacentral:lncRNA from 1 species
GACCUGCACAGUGUCCCCACCUCUGGGAGAGCCAUGCAGGAAGGGUGGAGCAGGGCGUGUUUAGCAGCCUGGCUCCAUGCCAUCCAUCACCUGGAAUAUGCUGGUCCUCCAUCAGUGAAGUGUGCCUUGUCUGAUGGGAACAACCAAGCAGACGUUUGGGAAGGUAGGAUUUCGUGA